rnacentral:rRNA from 1 species
UACGGAGGGUGCAAGCAUUGAUCGGAAUUACUGGGCGUAAAGGGCGCGUAGGCGGCAUAGAAAGUCGGAUGUGAAAUACCGGGGCUCAACCCCGGUGCUGCAUUUGAAACUCCUAAGCUAGAGUACAGUUAGGGAAAACAGAAUUCCACGUGUAGCGGUGAAAUGCGUAGAUAUGUGGAAGAAUACCGGUGGUGAAGACGGUUUUCUGGGCUGUAACUGACGCUGAGGCGCGAAAGCAUGGGGAGCAAACAGGG